rnacentral:rRNA from 1 species
UUCGGGUGAGCGGCGGACGGGUGAGUAACGCGUGGGAACGUGCCCUUUGGUACGGGAUAACUGAGGGAAACUUCAGCUAAUACCGUAUGUGCCCUACGGGGGAAAGAUUUAUCGCCAUUGGAGCGGCCCGCGUUGGAUUAGGUAGUUGGUGAGGUAAAGGCUCACCAAGCCUACGAUCCAUAGCUGGUCUGAGAGGAUGAUCAGCCACACUGGGACUGAGACACGGCCCAGACUCUACGGGAGGCAGCAGUAGGGAAUCUUGCGCAAUGGGCGAAAGCCUGACGCAGCCAUGCCGCGUGUAUGAUGAAGGUCUUAGGAUUGUAAAAUACUUUCACCGGGGAAGAUAAUGACGGUACCCGGAGAAGAAGCCCCGGCUAACUUCGUGCCAGCAGCCGCGGUAAUACGAAGGGGGCUAGCGUUGCUCGGAAUUACUGGGCGUAAAGGGCGCGUAGGCGGACAGUUUAGUCAGAGGUGAAAGCCCAGGGCUCAACCUUGGAAUUGCCUUUGAUACUGGCUGUCUUGAGUUCGGGAGAGGUGAGUGGAAUGCCGAGUGUAGAGGUGAAAUUCGUAGAUAUUCGGCGGAACACCAGUGGCGAAGGCGACUCACUGGCCCGAUACUGACGCUGAGGCGCGAAAGCGUGGGGAGCAAACAGGAUUAGAUACCCUGGUAGUCCACGCUGUAAACGAUGAGUGCUAGUUGUCGGCAUGCAUACAUGUCGGUGACGCAGCU